rnacentral:lncRNA from 1 species
GAAGGGGGACAGAAACUUCUGGGGGCCGUGGCUGCCCUGGGACUGUGGUGGGGCCAGAGAUCCCUGUGGGACCUGGGGCUGCAUUGCAGGGCUGUACAUGGGGAGGGCUGUGGUUACCCCCAAAGGAUCUGGGGAUGCCCCUGGGAUGUGCUGGGGUGGGGGUGAUGUCUAGGAGAUACUGAUUCCUCCUUGCUUUCCUUCACAGCACUCCAAGGAACUCCUGAAAAAGUGAGUGGAGGGAGCAGGGCUGGGAGCACAGGGGGCAGGGGGGGUGUCACAGCUGUGUCUGUCCCUGCUGGGCUGUGGCUGAGGGCCCCGUGGGUGCUGGACCCCACAGCUCCGAGGGUCUGCCUGCCCCACAGGAUCACGGACAUGUCCAAGGCAUCAAUGAGCAGCCGCCCCGAGCCUGGCUAUGAGAACAUGGAUCACUUCUCCAUCAAUGUGGACUACGUGGCCGAGAUGCUGAGGACCAUCGAGUUCCAGACAGAGCCGCUGGGUGAGGAUGAGGGUGAUGGACCCGGGGAGGGCAGCGAGGCUGCGACGGAGGAGGAUCGGCUGGACAGCCUGGAGGCACCUGAAGCUGCUGAGGAUGUGGGGCCGAGGCAGAAGCCAGCGAGUUCCCCCCAUGGUCAGCACUGAGGUGACACCGUGGGGCAAUGUUGGCAACCCCCAGCUAUGGCUGUCCCUGUCACUCCCUGGCUAUGGCCAUCCCUGGCACCCCUGGCUCAUGGCCAUCCCUGGCACUCCCAGUCGAGUUCCAUCCCUGCUGCUGGAAUUUCUCAAAUGGGGGCUGCCCCUCUCCAACAUUAAAUGUGUGUAAGGACAUCAUCUCUGGUGCAGUGUGUGGGUGGGGUGGGCACAGAGGCUGCCGGUGGGUGGGCC